CAUUCAGUAGCGAGCUUAACCGAGUAGGGGAGGCGUAGGGAAACCGAGUCUUAAUAGGGCGACUAGUUGCUGGGUGUAGACCCGAAACCGAGUGAUCUAUCCAUGGCCAGGAUGAAGGUGCGGUAAAACGCAUUGGAGGUCCGAACCCACGCAUGUUGCAAAAUGCGGGGAUGAGCUGUGGAUCUGUCUCUUAUACACAUCU
rnacentral:rRNA from 1 species